rnacentral:lncRNA from 1 species
UUUUGGGGUCAAACAAUCUACCUGCCUUGGUCUUUCAAAGUGCUUGGAUUAUAGUUGUGAGCCACUGAGCUCAGCCUGUCCUAGGUCUUUUAAUGUCAAAAGAACACUUGCCCGCAUAUAUAUAUAUAUGUAUACAUAUUUGUCAUUUCUUUGUCUUAAAACUGGAAUAUCCUGCUUUAAAACUUUAAGACAAAGUGUAAAUGAUUUUCUUUUUUUAAUGAGAAAUAGUCACCUUUUGUCAAUUUUAUUUGCUGAUUUUAUUGACUUGCGUAUUCUACAGUGGAGACCUCAACAUAUUCUAUGUAUUGUGUUUUAGUAGCAAGGUGAACAUAUGUAUGAUAUUUUCCACCUUAAUGUUACUCUUUAAUUGAAUACAUUUAUAAGUUACAUUAAAGCUUAUUUUAUGUUGAAAGAAGGAGCUAGAAAACUAGUGAUGUUAAACAAUGUGUUAACAUUUAUUUUCAAUGAUGAAUCAUUUAGUUUACAAGACAUAUCUUGUAUUUUCUUUAGGUAAUUGCCAAAUCAGAGUCAAAUUUAUGAAUGGGCAACCAGUUCUCUUCACCACUUCCAGCUUAUACUCCUCUGGAGUGUAUCCUGAACCAUUGGGACGGCUUUGACCCUCAGAAUCUGGAGGAAAAACACCUCAUAGCCCUACGCACAAAGGGUUGGCCAAAUUAUGAUUUACAGGAAGGACUGAGUUGGCCUCAGGAAGGAACCAUUCAUUUCAAUACCACUUGGCAGUUGGAACUUUUCUGCAGACAUGAGGACAGAUGGUCUGAGGCCACAUAUAUGCAGGCUUUCUAUAUCUUGCAAGGCAAUCGAGACCUUGGCUAACAAUGUAAGAUAGAUCUAGCCCUCCUGUUUGCCAUCUUAGGGAAGGCUGCAAGGGGCAAGCCUAGAGAAUUAAAGAUAUGAGUCCCAGAGGCACCCCCAACAGGGGAGCCAGCUCCCUCAAGCCCUGCUCCUCCAGGUCUAUCCCAACCUCCCUAUCCAGCUUCAGCCUCUCACUUGCCCCCUCCUAGAAAUCCUCACUCUAAACAAGCCCCAGUCUCACUCCUGCCCCUCCAACAGAUGCCCAGUGAAUUUGGGCCCAGUAAGGUCCAGGUCUCCUUCUCCCUACAGGACUUAAAGCAAAUUAAGGAGGAUAUUGACAGGUUUUCAGAUGACCCUUAUAGAUAGAGGCUCUCCAGAAUUUCACCCAAAUAUUUGAACUCUCUUGAAAAGACAUUAUGUUACUUUUGAAUCAGACCCUGAUGGACACUGAGAAACAGUCCACUCUGCAAGCAGCAGAGAGAUUUAGGAAUGAGCUUUGUAUCACAUAUAGCGUCAGGGAAGGGGACGAAUAUUCUCCAACUGGAAGAGAAGCAGUACCAGUGAAUGACCCUAAAUGGCAUCCCAAUGAUGAGAUGGAAGACUGGAGAAGCACACACUUUCAGGUGUGCAUAGUGGAAGGCUAGUAUAAAUUUAUUACUCAGGCAGCUCCUGAUAUCAGGAGGAAGUUGCAGAAACGAUCCCUGGGAUCAGCUAGUACAUUAGAGGACCUCCUGAAAGUGGCUACCUUGGUCUUUUAUAAUACAGACAGGGAGGCCCAGGAAGAGAGAGGAAAUACGCAAAAGAGCAAAAGCUUUAAUGGCCACCAUGCAACCCCACAAACCCUAGAAUUCCCAGGGUACACCUGUUAGUUGCUAAAGAUAUUUCAAGAACAGUUAUCUCUCUGGUAAAGUUUAUUUGCUCCUGUGCAAGGUUUCAUUUCUUUCAACAGAGUGAAACAACUUGGGGUACAAUGUUAUUGUUAGUAUAUUUUCUUCUUAUGUCUGUAAUAUUUGGCACUAAAUUCUUUCCUUUAAUAAUACACAUGUUUAACCCAUGCAUACUUAACCUUAUAAAACUUGUUUUUUCUCUCAUGCCUGGAAGCCAUCAAACUCCAAAUGUUCAGGCAACCAGAGCCUCAGAUGAUGGCUCCGCUUUGCUAGGAACCCCCAGGUAGACCUCUCGGAAGCAUCCGACAGCAGUUUACCCCAAAAGAAUGCCCCCUGUCAGUGGGAAGCAGCUAAGACCAGUCAUUGUCCAUAUUCUCAUGGCAGUUAGAUACACCUCUUCAGAGAGGGGAAAUAAUAUGGGAGUGCUAGGAAGGGAAGAACAUGGCUGGCUAGGGCUCCAUACCCUGGCUAGUCCUGGCUAGGGCUCCACACUCACGGACCUAACUGAGAACAGGUAUUUCCCGCCCAAAUGUUGCAUUUCCCAAGACCACCCUGGCCUGCCAUGCCCCCAUCCUGUGCCUGCAAAAACCUGAGACCCUAGCAAGGCAGAUACAGAAGCAACUGGACAUCAAGAGGAGCACAUCAGCGGAGGAACACACAGGGAGAGGAACACAUAGGUGGCUGGACAUUGAGAGGAACACACUGACAGGCACCAGCAUGCUGGUAGGCCACUGACUGACAGAACAAUGCAGAGUUUGGCUGGGGCAGCUGGAGGACAGUCUGGGCCACUGAGCAGCCUGACUUCAGGGGAAAACCAUCUCCCUUCUGACUCUCCCAUCUGCUGGUAGCUAUUUCCACUCAAUAAAACCUUGCACUCAUUCUCCAAGCCCAUAUGUGAUCUGAUUCUUCCAGUACACCAAGGCAAGAACCUCAGGAUACAGAAAGUCCACUGUCCUUGUGAUAAGGCAGGGGUCUAAUUGAGUUGACUAACACAAGGCACCUAGAGCGGCUAAACUAGAAGAGCAAAACUAAAAGAGCACACUGUAACACAUGCCUACUGGGGCUUCAGCUGCAAACAUUCACCCCUAGACAUUGCUGUGGGAUCUGAACCCCACAGCCUGCCCGCCUGUAAGCUCCCCUAGAGGUUUGAGCAGGGAGGCACUGAAGAAGCCAGCCACACCCCCAUCUCACACCCUGCAAGGGGAUAAGGGAACUUUUCCCAUUUCACAUUCAAGCCAGAACUGUUAAGAGAAACAAUGGGUAAUUUUCUGGCUUAUACUUAUUCUGGGUUCCAGAGAAGGUUGGUGUUCUGUUUCUACCUUCAGAAUUGCAUUGGCUACUUAAUCUAAAAGCUUUGGUCAAACAAGCUGAUUGUGGAGUUAACUGCUCUUCAUUAAAGCUACUUAGAGCUUUUCCACUUCA